UCUGGUUGAUCCCGGCGGAGGUUACUGCUAUCGAGGUUCGACUAAGCCAUGCGAGUCGAAUGUAGCAAUACAUGGCGUACUGCUCAGUAACACGUGGACAACCUACCCUUAGGUCGGGGAUAAACCCGGGAAACUGGGUAUAAUACCCGAUAGUCCUCGGAUGCUGGAAUGCACCGAGGUCUAAAGCUCCGGCGCCUAAGGAUGGGUCUGCGGCCUAUCAGGUAGUAGUGGGUGUAGCGUACCUACUAGCCUACGACGGGUACGGGUUGUGAGAGCAAGAGCCCGGAGAUGGAUUCUGAGACACGAAUCYAGGCCCUACGGGGUGCAGCAGGCGCGAAAACYUUACAAUGCUGGMAACAGCGAUAAGGGRACCUCGAGUGCCAGGUUACAAAUCUGGCUGUCGUGAUGCCUAAAAAGCAUURCAUAGCAAGGGCCGGGCAAGACCGGUGCCAGCCGCCGCGGUAACACCGGCGGCUCGAGUGGUAACCGYUAUUAUUGGGUCUAAAGGGUCUGUAGCCGGCCGGAUAAGUCUYUUGGGAAAUCUGGCAGCUUAACUGUCAGGCUUUCAGRRGAUACUGUCYGGCUCGAGGCCGGGAGAGGUGAGAGGUACUUCAGGGGUAGGGGUGAAAUCUUGUAAUCCUUGAAGGACCACCAGUGGCGAAGGCGUCUCACCAGAACGGACCUGACGGCAAGGGAC
rnacentral:rRNA from 1 species